CUACGGGCGGCUGCAGUGAGGAAUAUUGCACAAUGGGGGGAACCCUGAUGCAGCAACGCCGCGUGGAGGAUGGCGCAUUUCGGUGUGUAAACUCCUUUUAUAUGUCAAGAAAAUGACGGUAGCAUAUGAAUAAGCACCGGCUAACUCCGUGCCAGCAGCCGCGGUAAUACGGAGGGUGCAAGCGUUACUCGGAAUCACUGGGCGUAAAGGACGCGUAGGCGGGUUGGAAAGUCAGGUGUGAAAUCCUACAGCUUAACUGUAGAACUGCACUUGAAACUUCUAAUAUAGAGUAUGGAAGGGGGAGAUGGAAUUAGUGGUGUAGGGGUAAAAUCCGUAGAUAUCACUAGGAAUACCUAAAGCGAAGGCGAUCUCCUGGAACAUUACUGACGCUAAGGCGUGAAAGCGUGGGGAGCAAACAGGAUUAGAUACCCCAGUAGUC
rnacentral:rRNA from 1 species